AUUGAACGCUGGCGGCAUGCUUUACACAUGCAAGUCGAACGGCAGCGCGGGCCUCGGCCUGGCGGCGAGUGGCGAACGGGUGAGUAAUACAUCGGAACGUGCCCAGUAGUGGGGGAUAGCUCGGCGAAAGCCGGAUUAAUACCGCAUACGACCUGAGGGUGAAAGCGGGGGAUCUUCGGACCUCGCGCUAUUGGAGCGGCCGAUGGCAGAUUAGCUAGUUGGUGGGGUAAAGGCCUACCAAGGCGACGAUCUGUAGCUGGUCUGAGAGGACGACCAGCCACACUGGGACUGAGACACGGCCCAGACUCCUACGGGGGGCAGCAGUGGGGAAUUUUGGACAAUGGGCGAAAGCCUGAUCCAGCAAUGCCGCGUGUGUGAUGAAGGCCUUCGGGUUGUAAAGCACUUUUGGCGGGAACGAAAAGGACUGUGCCAAUACCACGGUUCGAUGACGGUACCCGCAGAAUAAGCACCGGCUAACUACGUG
rnacentral:rRNA from 1 species